rnacentral:tRNA from 1 species
GGGGUUGUGGCUCAGUGGUAGAGUUCUGAUCUUGCAUGUGUGAGGCACUGAGUUUGAUCCUCAGCACCACA